rnacentral:rRNA from 1 species
CACGUAGGGAGCAAGCGUUGUCCGGAUUUAUUGGGCGUAAAGAGCUCGUAGGCGGUUCAGUAAGUCAGGUGUGAAACCUCCAGGCUCAACCUGGAGACGCCACCUGAUACUGCUGUGACUGGAGUCCGGUAGGGGAGCGUGGAAUUCCUGGUGUAGCGGUGAAAUGCGCAGAUAUCAGGAGGAACACCAGCGGCGAAGGCGGCGCUCUGGGCCGGAACUGACGCUGAGGAGCGAAAGCGUGGGUAGCAAACAGG